UCGAACGCGGUUGCCCCGCAAGGGGUAACUGAGUGGCGAACGGGUGAGUAACACGUGGGUGACCUACCUUCGAGUGGGGGAUAACGUCCCGAAAGGGACGCUAAUACCGCAUAACAUCCUGCCUUUGAACAGGUGGAGAUCAAAGCUGGGGAUCGCAAGACCCGGCGCUUGAUGAGGGGCCCGCGUCCGAUUAGCUAGUUGGUGAGGUAAUGGCUCACCAAGGCAACGAUCGGUAGCCGGCCUGAGAGGGCGGACGGCCACACUGGGACUGAGACACGGCCCAGACUCCUACGGGAGGCAGCAGUGGGGAAUUGUUCGCAAUGGGCGCAAGCCUGACGACGCAACGCCGCGUGGAGGAUGAAGGUCUUCGGAUUGUAAACUCCUGUUGCCCGGGACGAAUGGCUCCGACCUAAUACGUCGGAGUGUGACGGUACCGGGUGAGGAAGUCCCGGCUAACUCUGUGCCAGCAGCCGCGGUAAUACAGAGGGGGCAAGCGUUGUUCGGAAUUACUGGGCGUAAAGGGCGCGUAGGCGGCCCGUCAAGUCGAACGUGAAAUCCCCGGGCUCAACCCGGGAACUGCGUCCGAUACUGGCAGGCUUGAAUUCGGGAGAGGGAUGCGGAAUUCCAGGUGUAGCGGUGAAAUGCGUAGAUAUCUGGAGGAACACCGGUGGCGAAGGCGGCAUCCUGGACCGAUAUUGACGCUGAGGCGCGAAAGCCAGGGGAGCAAACGGGAUUAGAUACCCCGGUAGUCCUGGCCCUAAACGAUGAAUGCUUGGUGUGGCG
rnacentral:rRNA from 1 species